GACGAACGCUGGCGGCGUGCUUAACACAUGCAAGUCGAACGAAAAGAGGGAAAGAGCUUGCUCUUUCCGGAAUUGAGUGGCAAACGGGUGAGUAACACGUAAACAACCUGCCUUCAGGAUGGGGACAACAGACGGAAACGACUGCUAAUACCGAAUAAGUUCCAAGGGCCGCAUGGCCCAUGGAAGAAAAGGUGGCCUCUACCUGUAAGCUAUCGCCUGAAGAGGGGUUUGCGUCUGAUUAGCUGGUUGGAGGGGUAACGGCCCACCAAGGCGACGAUCAGUAGCCGGUCUGAGAGGAUGAACGGCCACACUGGAACUGAGACACGGUCCAGACUCCUACGGGAGGCAGCAGUGGGGAAUCUUCCGCAAUGGGGCGAAAAGCCCUGACGGAGCAAACGCCGCGUGAGUGAUGACGGCCUUUCGAAGUUGU
rnacentral:rRNA from 1 species